rnacentral:rRNA from 1 species
CGGUGACAUACCUAAACGGCUGCAGUACUCUGACUGUGCAAAGGUAGCAUGAUCAAUUGUCUGGUAAUUCCAGUCUGGUAUGAAUGGUUAGACGAUGUGAACGCUGUCUUCUUCUCUUUUGUUGAAAGUGAACACCAGGUGCGGAUGCCUGGAUUGGAGAGUGGGACGAGAAGACCUAUAGAGCUUUAACUUUAGCUAUAAAAUCAUUGUUAUGGUGUGUGUUUUAGUUGGGGUAACUAUAGGGUCUUAUUGUACACUAUCCAAUCCAGCCUCGUAAAUUUGUUGUCCAAUUUGAAUAAAAGGUAAAUUUUUAGGUAGUUAGAAAAAGUUACCUUAGGGAUAACAGCGUAAUUUCUCUUGAGA